UCUGGGAGUCGUAGGCUCUAGUAGUUUCCUGUGUUUAAUGGCUCCUCGCUAUUAAGCUGCUGAAUAGUCAUUUGCCCAUGAAUACGACCCCUGUCACCAACCAAGUCAAGUCUUGGCUGUUUGUACUGCAACUGGUCACUGAUCUUGUCACUCAGUGGAAACACAUUUCCCUUUCUUGAAUGUUUUGUAUCUGAGGAGAAGUGUGCUGGGAAUUCUUAUGUAUAGGAACAACAUCUUUGCCUGCCCCUGAAAUGAGAUCAACUCCAUCCUUUUGAAACUCCAUGAGCCCUCCAUCAAGACCUGAUUAUCUUAUCAGACCUGGAGUUCUGAAGGUGACUUUUCACAAAAAAGUAUUGCAUUCUUACAUAUUUGCCUUGUAACACCCUAAACUGAAGAUUACAGUAAAACAGAGUUAAGAUGGUGUUUUUGAAUUGGAAGGCACUGGAAACUUUUCCACUACUAAUGUACAUUUUAGCUGCUAAAACAUUAAUUCUUUGCUUAGCAUUUGCUGGGGUAAAAAUAUAUCAAAGGAAAAGACUUGAAGAGAAGAUGAAAAGAGAGCAAGUAGAAGAGCAGAAAAGAGAAAUGGAGAGAAAAGAAAACUGAAGAUCUAAAGAUUGUGAGGAGGUCUCCACAACAUAACACAGUUACAAGAACCAAAGUCUUCACAAAACACACAAUUAAGAAAAAGAAGGAAGAUGGCUUACUUAGUCCAUGAGUGUAAGUUCCCAGAGUCUAUGAUGUAAGAGGCGUCUAAAGUCUGAUAAACAAACCAACAAGUAAUAAAUGCUAUAAGAAAAGUGAAAAUGGAAAGAACAUUUAAAUAGGCAUUUAAGAAGAGCACAAAAAGCAAGCAGCAAGUGAUAGCUGGGGAAAAGGAGGAGUGCUGAUGUUCCAACUGCAGAGAGACUUGACCUGAGCUGCUGAGCUUCUUGGAGCACUGCUCUGGUACCAGAUUUGAUAGGAGGUCUCUUGUCUCAAUAAACUGGCUUAUUCAAAGCAGAGCAUGUUAUUUUCAAAAAAGCAUUUCAGUGCUCCAAUCAAGGAUCUUUAUUUUCAAGAUUUUUUUCCAAAUGUUAUUUGAAUAUUAUUUCAAAUACUUAACAGUACUCUGUUAAGAAACCAAACAGACAUUUACAGCCAAGGCAAUGCCAGCCUGAUACUAGGAAAUUAGCCACCCUCUGUGUUGGGAAGUAUUGAACAGUCAACCAAGGAAAAAUAGAGGGCAACUAGCACUGAUAAUUUUACAGUUACAUUAAAGCUGAGCGGACAUCUAGAUGUGAUGUGCCCAAAGGCAUUAGGACAGUUUGAUGUUUCAAAAGCAAAUAUAUCAUUGGUAAGUAGAAUGCCAGAAUAUCAAUCAAGGAAAACUUGAUGUAGUCCAGGCAGAAAUGCCAAGGCCGCAUAUCAACAUUCUAGGAACUAAGGAACUGAAAUAUAUUGGAAUUCCCAUCAAAGGAACCCUCUGCAGAUCCCAUCAGAUCCUCUACUGCAGACUUCAAAAUCAUAGAAAAAAACCCAACUGGUUCUUAUUACUAAAAAAGUAUGCAAAUGUUUCUUUCUUCUUUUUUUUUGUGAAAUUUGAAUGAUUUUUUUAAAAAUGUCUGAUAGCCAUCCAGAGUUUCCUGGAUAGAUGUUUGGUUAUAUAAAUGUGUAAAUAUAUAAAUAAAUAUGUACAAAUGCUUGGAUACAGUUCCCAAAAGAUAGAUGAUCUCAAUUCAAGUUGAAGGCUAGCUAAUCACUGUUACAGUGAUCUAUGUAUAUGCUCUAACCACAGAUACAAAGGAAGUGGAAGCUGAACAAUUCCAUUAUAACUCGCAACAUCUUAUUGACACAACUCCAGAAAAGAUGCCAUAAUAAAUACAGGACACUGGAAUGCUAAAGUUGGAAGUAAAAUAGCUACUGGAGUAAUGGGAACAUUUGGCCUUGGUAUAUGAAAGGAAACAAGAGAAAAAUACAGUUCUGGCAAAAAAAGAUGCAAUAUUUUUAGCAAAUAUUUUCCUCUAUCAACCUAAAAAAUUACACAAGAUCUCCACUAGACAGACAAACCCAAAAUCAAAUUAUCUACUUAUAUUACAAGCAAAAAUGGAAGCUCUAGUCUAGUCAGUCAGCAAAAGAAGACCACAAUGUAGAUUACAAACACCUGAAAUAACAACAGAAUAGAAAAAACAAAAUAGUCAGAUAUGAUCAGAGCAAUAUUCAUUAUGAUUAUAUGUUGAAUAGAUGAAGUGAAUUAGAGUGAUAAACAUGUCUAGAGAAACUGGAAAUAAAAUUUGUUGCAUCAUUUAAAAUGAUACAAAGACAAAUACACUGAAAUGUAAAAGAAUUAAAUGGUUGUCUGUUGAAAUAGAAUAAAAUAAAACCAAUGUCUAUA